rnacentral:rRNA from 1 species
UGGGGAAUAUUGCACAAUGGGCGAAAGCCUGAUGCAGCAACGCCGCGUGAGUGAUGAAGGCCUUCGGGUUGUAAAGCUCUGUCUUCUGGGACGAUAAUGACGGUACCAGAGGAGGAAGCCACGGCUAACUACGUGCCAGCAGCCGCGGUAAUACGUAGGUGGCAAGCGUUGUCCGGAUUUACUGGGCGUAAAGGGAGCGUAGGCGGACUUUUAAGUGAGAUGUGAAAUACCCGGGCUCAACCUGGGUGCUGCAUUUCAAACUGGAAGUCUAGAGUGCAGGAGAGGAGAGUGGAAUUCCUAGUGUAGCGGUGAAAUGCGUAGAGAUUAGGAAGAACACCAGUGGCGAAGGCGACUCUCUGGACUGUAACUGACGCUGAGGCUCAAAAGCGUGGGGAGCAAACA